GCUCCAAUGUUCCACUGGAACGUGCUCAUGGAAAAGGAAGAGGCCAUGAAUACACCUGUUGGGAACUGUCAGCUUUUGAACAUGCAAACAGGAGAGGUGGCAAACUACGCCCCCUGCAGGGAACUUUAUGUAGAGAUCCUGACAGGCGUUACUGUGAAGUUGGAUUUACCACAGACAUCACAGAGAAUGGCAGAGUGAUACUUGGUGCACCAGGGGGCUAUUAUUUUAAAGGAUACUCUGUUGCUGCUGGGAAUUUUAAUAAAGACAACAUCCCAGAUUAUGUUGUUGGCGUCCCAAACGAUGUGCACACCGCAGGAUCUGUCAAAAUAAUAAAUGGAGCAACUGUGCCCCUGCAAAUCAUGAAGGCGAUUAGUGGCAUCCAGAUAGCAUCUUAUUUUGGACAUUCUGUGGCAUUAACAGACAUUAAUAGAGAUGGGUGUGACGACAUCCUGAUUGGAGCACCACUUUUUAUGGAGCAGCUGUCCACUCAGAGACGGUCUUUGGUCAAGUGGGACAAGUCUAUUUUUACCUGCAAAGAAAGGACUUCUCCUUCUCAUCCAGACCCAACCAGAUCCUGAUAGGGACAUAUGCCUAUGGGCGUUU